AAAGAUUCUGGAGAAGACAAAAUAACCCACAGAAAAGAAGUAUGGAAGGCAGGGGUAGCAAGGCGGAGCUGUGACCUGUCACAGCACGCAGAGAAUGCCCAUGGAUUUUCACAAAUGCUGGUAAAAUGUGAAAAGCAGGUGUUUCUUUUUUCUUCAAUCUGAGCUUCAAGCUAAUAUGGGCACUCAACUAAAUCCCUCCCGGGUCCUGAAACAGUAUGCGGUUUUGGAUUUCAAAGAUAAUCCCUACAUCUUCUGGGAGAGGUGCAAGUAUCAAACAGUUGGAGACACAAGGAAAGGGUGGUAUAAUGCAGAAAGUGACUUGAACAAAUUUACACAGAAGGCAGUGAAGUGUGAUUCAAAUUCAAGCAGUCUAGACUGUGCCCCACACAACUCUGCAGCAUAACCUUGCAGUAUGAAAAUGAUGCCUCUCAUGCAGAUCAGGGAUAUGAGAUCCAGUGACCUACCCAAAGUUUCAAAGGAAAGAUGUAACAGAGCCAUCUCUGAACUUCUGCUCUUGGGGAUCUACAUGCUCUUUCCACUAGUUCUGACAUUAGCAGGUGUUUGACCCAGGACUUGCCCAACUUGGUUUCCAUUUGUAUAGAACUAAUGCCAAAUUUCAAAAGAAAAUAUUACAUACCAUAAUCAAUAAAAACAAAAUAUCAAACAU
rnacentral:lncRNA from 1 species